rnacentral:rRNA from 1 species
UACAGAGGGUGCAAGCGUUAAUCGGAAUUACUGGGCGUAAAGCGUGCGCAGACGGUUGCGUAAGUCAGAUGUGAAAGCCCCGGGCUUAACCUGGGAACUGCAUUGGUGACUGCAUCGCUCGAGUAUGGCAGAGGGGGGUAGAAUUCCACGUGUAGCAGUGAAAUGCGUAGAGAUGUGGAGGAAUACCGAUGGCGAAGGCAGCCCCCUGGGUCAAUACUGACGCUCAUGCACGAAAGCGUGGGGAGCAAACAGG